GGGGAAUUUUGGACAAUGGGGGCAACCCUGAUCCAGCCAUGCCGCGUGAGUGAAGAAGGCCUUCGGGUUGUAAAGCUCUUUCGGCGGGGAAGAAAUGGCAACGGCUAAUAUCCGUUGUUGAUGACGGUACCCGCAUAAGAAGCACCGGCUAACUACGUGCCAGCAGCCGCGGUAAUACGUAGGUGGCGAGCGUUGUCCGGAAUUACUGGGCGUAAAGGGCGCGUAGGCGGCUCUUUAAGUUAGAUGUGAAAACCCAGGGCUUAACUCUGGGACUGCAUUUUAAACUGACGGGCUCGAGUGCAGGAGAGGUAAGUGGAAUUCCUAGUGUAGCGGUGAAAUGCGUAGAUAUUAGGAAGAACACCAGUGGCGAAGGCGACUUACUGGACUGUAACUGACGCUGAGGCGCGAAAGCGUGGGGAGCAAACA
rnacentral:rRNA from 1 species